ACCAAAAAAGUAUCGUAAAUAAAUAAGAUGUAUUGUUUUGAUUUAUUUUUUUUACUCUAAUUUAUUUAUAUACAUAAUAUGUAAAUAAAUACAAAUAAAUAAUAAUAGAUAAAAGCUAUUUUUAUAUAUAAAAUUCAUUCCACGCAGGUUUUAAGCUAGUAUAUGGGUAAUAAUCAUAUAAUCAACUACAUCUGUGAAGUGUGAACUAGUUUUUUUGCCACGAUAGCCAAAUUGUGAGAUGAUAAAAGAAACAAAACAACUUUACUAUGCAUAUUAACUUUUGGACUUAUUUGCCAAAUAACCAAAAAAAAAGAGUAAUUAGAUUUUUAGUAAGAAGUUAGAGAGAAAUAGGAAGAUAAAUAAGGAGAGAGAGAGUUUUUUGGUUAUAUAAGGUUUGUUUUUUUUUUUUUAAGGUUAUAGGGGCAAAUUUUCCUUCAUUAAAUUUUUAGAGUCACUUUCAAGUUUCAUCUGUUGUCCAAAAAAAAACUCACUUUUAUCUUUGUUCUAAACAUAAAUUUUCAUUAAACAUAUAGGAAGAAUCCCAAUCCCGAAUUAAUAUCAUUAGAUUUUGUCUAUAACAAUUUAUUUUGAUGAUAUUUAAAAGUAAUUACUUUUUCCAAACAACUUUUUGGACAACUCAAUCCACACAAGUUAUCUCUGAUCACGGUUCCACGUUAAAUCACUCUGUUAAUCGCCAACAAGAAGCAAUUUAAUGUGUAACGCAGUUUCUUACGUAUAAUACUGCAAACAGACUUUGGUUCUCUUCUCCAAUCGGUUAUUACACAUUUGCACACAUAAGUAUGUUCUCACUUGUAUCAAUCAGCAUUUAAGUAUGUUUCUUAAUGUAGUAAAUAUGAAAAACAGAAGCUAAUACCUUGCUUGUAUCAUGUUAAGGAGAGAUCAAUACUGUUCUGUUAUCUAUACUAUAUUAAAAGGGUUAUAUGAGGAGUAGAGAGGCUGUCCACGUCAGACUAAAAAUUCAACCUAUCAUAAAUCAUCUUUUUGCCAUGUCAUCGUCGAAAUUGGUCUUUUAUUUUUGGGUUUCUUAGCAUUUUAAACAGCCCGAUUAAGCCCAAAUGCAAGGGUCUGAAGCAUAAUUUUCCGUUCUUAUCCGACUAUCUCACGUUGUAGUCACCGAUCAAAUUCUUCACUUCUCCGUUACAGUAACCCACAAUUCAUCAAUCUAAGUCUAUCUUAAAUGGUUUUGUUCCAUCUCCCCUUAUAUCUCCUUAUAUAUAAAGUGCUCCAUCUGAUCUUCAAUCAACCCUAAUUGAAAAACUUCACUAAAGAAGUUGCAGCUACUGCCAUGAAAUCCACCGGUAAGUCUCCCGUCACAGCGUCACCACCAGCAUGUCUAUCGUCGCCACGGGAACCAGCCGAAUCUUGACUCCGUUUUCGGUUAGUCAAUUUCUUAGAGGCUAGAAACUUUGCUAAAGGUCGGACCUUUAUUGGGUUAGAGCUCCUGCUCAUCCAUGAACAGGUAUGAAUGCUUAUCCCCAACUUUUAACGAGUAUGAGAUUGGUCCACUUCCUGGCCUCUAUCUCCACUUCAACAAACAGAACUGUGAUGAAUGUUUACUUGUGGGACAAGGCCGCAAAUGAAUUCUACUGCAAAUUCAACGACACCCUUGAAACUCCUACGUCCUUUUAGUGACAACCGUGAAUACUAAACAUAUUGGAGGUAAUCAAUUCCCUUCUUAUUAGUUAGUGUAUGGUAUAAACAUAGACUCCCCAUUUGUUGGCCAGACCUUAGCUAUCUUUUCUAUAUUCCAUUUGUUAACCCAUCUUUCAAAGCCACAGGGAACGUUGCCCUCAGCUACAUUGAUAAACAUGUACCUCCCACAAAUGAGUAUCUCUCCUGGUGUACAAUCCGGUCUCAUUCAAAUUUAUUGUUGUGAACUCCAUCUGAUUCAAACUAUAUGUAUAAGGUUGGCUCAAACCCAGACGUUUCUGCCGUAGCUAAUGCGUCCGAGGUCACCAAGGUUGCGAAAAUGACAGUUGCUUAGAUCGUUGCGUUUCCGAAACAUGAACCCACUAAGUUACUUUCUAGAAAAAUAACCAUACAUACUUACCAGGUUUAAUGCUAACUGUUUACGAAUUUCCGGCAGGUACCAUUGAUGAUGUUGAGAGGGACUCUAACUGGUACUACAUUGCAGGCAGUGACUGCCAAACUAAAGUGAACAGAGGUUCGACUUCACUGAUAUGCCCAAAAUGUGGAAAUGUGAAGGCUACUGGAGUUGAAAAGUACCGCAUUGAGCUGUCCGUCUAUGACAAUGACGAUAAGGCCAGUUUUGUGCUACUUGGCGAUGCUGGUCCUGAGCUCACGGGAAGGCAGGCUCAGAUUUAACUGACAACUAUUUUCAGGUCACUUUAAAUAUUCUUAAUUCACGUCCGCUGUUGUGUAGUCUCUGUAGCACCUUUUGUGAAUGCUAGGUAAUGUAGACAUGGGUGUUCAUUAUGAGAAGCCAACUCAAAAAAAGUCUUCUGUUUACCAUUGGCCAAACCCGCAACUUCAGAGUGAAGGUCCCAGACUACAAUUUCACAACGAAAAGCAGACCAUAUCUGUCACUUAGGUAGUCUCUCUUGCUGUCCUGCAAGCUGUAGCACAUGCCGUGUAGAUACAAGUCAGCGCAGGCGAUGAUAGCAAGCCAAUUCUAGGGGAAAGUGUUGCUUCAAAGUCUUCCUUACAUUUAACCUGCUGUGCAAGUUCUUCUGGUGAGGCAUGUGCCCCAACUAAUGUCAGCGAUGAGAAGAAAGAAGCCAAGCAUGCAAGACUUAGUAACUAAAAGCUCUCAAAUUCCACUUACCUACCCCAUAUUUAGAGGACGAGCUUUGGAAGAACUCAGAAGCUCUCCAUUCAACGAGCUUAUAUCAUUUUAAGGACAUGAGCGGCAACAAACAUGGUUUUAACAUUACUGUCUAUAUUAUAUGUGUUGGUUAGCAGAUAUCAUGGCGACAAUGAUGACAAAGUUACUAAGACUAAGUACUGUGUCUGGUAAGUUUCAACACAAGAUGCGACAAGCAACACCUUACUCUGGUGGGAGAUUGCUGGAUACCCUGAUGUUCCAGUCACAGUAGGAAGCUCCGAACCCUUAAAAUGGGAUUCCCCCUGUAGCUGAUUUUGUGCACGGUAAAAAUGGGCAAGGAGAUGUCUCUCUUCCUCUGAGUAGAAAAAAAUGUGACAAAAAUGCAGUUCAGUUUCGUAGAGAGGGUCUCUGACUAUCUGGGUAAAGUCACCAUUCUUUCCGUCGGACCACUGAUCAAUCUUGCAAUAAUAUAUGGUGACCCAGAAGCAGCUGGUGUUGGGUUCAUAUCUGGAGCUGAUAUCACUGUUGGGAUAAACAUCAGUACCCAACUUAAACUAACAGAUGAUGACCUCUUAGCGUUGCGUAACUCCAAGGGAAACGCACAAGAUUGAGUGUGCCUCCAUGACCCGCUGAGCUUUGUGGAAGCAGUACGGCCUGAUCUAUUCAAAUAUAAGAAAGGGUUGUCCGAGUGGGGACUCAGGGAAUAUGCGUCGGCUACAUGCUCAUGGAUCAAGCCCUCAAGCGGUCUUAUUAUGUAAAUUGUAAUCUUCACAGAAAAAGAAAGAAUCAUAGAUGGAACAGGAGCAAUGAGCAAUCCAUGGGUGAGAUUUUCACCAAUAUCUGUGGCGUGGACAAUAAAUGUAGACAAAGUUUUGGAAUAUAUAAAGUGUUGGUGGUGAAUCUUAAUUCGAAUCUUAAUUCAAGGUCUGUA